rnacentral:rRNA from 1 species
UACGGGGGGGGGCAAGCGUUGUUCGGAAUUACUGGGCGUAAAGGGCUCGUAGGCGGUUUGUCGCGUCUGCUGUGAAAACCUAAGGCUCAACCUUGGGCUUGCAGUGGGUACGGGCAGACUAGAGUGCGGUAGGGGGUGACUGGAAUUCCUGGUGUAGCGGUGGAAUGCGCAGAUAUCAGGAGGAACACCGAUGGCGAAGGCAGGUCUCUGGGCCACUACUGACGCUGGAG